UACGUAGGGUGCGAGCGUUGUCCGGAAUUAUUGGGCGUAAAGAGCUCGUAGGCGGUCUGUCGCGUCUGCUGUGAAAACUCAGGGCUUAACCCUGAGCUUGCAGUGGGUACGGGCAGACUAGAGUGCGGUAGGGGAGACUGGAAUUCCUGGUGUAGCGGUGAAAUGCGCAGAUAUCAGGAGGAACACCGGUGGCGAAGGCGGGUCUCUGGGCCGUAACUGACGCUGAGGAGCGAAAGCCAGGGGAGCAAACGGG
rnacentral:rRNA from 1 species